AGUGAACGCUGGCGGCGUGCCUAAUACAUGCAAGUCGAACGAAGUGGCGCACGGGUGAGUAAUAUAUAGUUAAUCUGCCCUACACAGAGGAACAACAGCUGGAAACGACUGCUAAUACAUCAUAGUGUAGGAUGAGACUAUACCGUGUCAGCUGGUUGGUAAGGUAAUGGCUUACCACGGCUAUGACGCGUAACUGGUCUGAGAGUAUGAUCAGUCAACUGGGAACAGAGACACGGUCCAAAGUCCUGCGGGAGGCAGCAGUAAGGGAGAUUGCGCAAUGGGGGGAACCCUGACGCGGCAUCGCCGCGUGGAGGAUGACAAUUUUCGGAGCGUAAACUCCUUUUAUCAGGAAAGCGGUACCUGAUGAAUAAGCACCGGCUAACUCCGUGCCAGCCGCCGCGGUAAUUC
rnacentral:rRNA from 1 species